UCCCAUAUCAGAGGGAUUCCUAUCAGUGUGAAUUUUAACAAGAUUAACUUCACCUUGAGACAGUUUCUCACGUAUAAAAUGAUACUUUACCUCAAUAUGUUUAGUUCUUUCAUGGUAAACAGGAUUUUUACAAAGCAAUAAAGCACUUUGACUAUCAGUAAACAUAACAGGUGUAUCAUGCAUGAAGUUCAAUUCCUUUAAAAUUCCUUUUAACCAAGUACAUUCUUUAGCCGCCUCAGUUAUGGCAACAUAUUCUGCCUCAGUACUUGACAAAGUAACUAAAGGCUGCAGCUGUGACUUCCAUGUUAUACAAUUGUCACCUAGUGUAAAAAAGUACGCUGUGGUAGACUUUCUGCUAUCCUUGUCACCAGCAAAAUCAGAGUCUACAUACCCCUUUAGAGUAAGUUUUUCAGAUCUCUUUUCAUACACUAGACCCAGAUUUAAUGUACCAACAAUGUACCUUAACAACCAUUUCAAACCUGCCCAAUGAGGCUUCCUGGGUUUGACAUAAAUCUGCUCAAAAAACUUAUAGCAUAGGCUAAGUCAGGCCUGGUUGUUAUCAUAGAGAACAUGAUGGAACCUAUAGCAUUAGCGUAGGGUAUGUUUCUCAUUUUUCUAAAUUCCUCCUCAGUCUUAGGAGAUUGUGCACCAGAAAGAUUCAUAUGAGCUGCUAAGGGAACGUUCACAGAUUUUGAUCCAUUCAUACCAAAUUUGGUUGUGACUUUGUUUAGAUAGGCUUCUUGGGAAAUGACUAGUCUAUUUUCAGCCCUAUCUCUCUUUAUAACCAUCUCCAAAAUCUUCUUAGCACUCCCCAAAUCUUUCAUAUCAAAUUCUGAUUUUAAAAGGUUCUUCAUCUUAGUGAUUUCAGUCUUACUUGAACUUGCUAGGAGCAUGUCAUCUACAUACAGCAACAAGUAGACCUCACAGCCCUCCUUACUAUCAUUAUAGUACAGGCAUGCAUCAUAUUCACUCCUUUUAAAACCUAUCUUCAGAACAUAGGUAUCGAACCUUAUGUACCACUGUCUAGGGCUCUGUUUAAGCCCAUACAGAGAUCUUUCUGAUUUGCACACACAGCUAGUUUUACCUUUCACCUCAAAACCUUGAGGCUGACUCAUGUAAAUAUCCUCUUCCAAUUCCCCAUAUAGGAAAGCAGUCUUGACAUCUAGUUGUUCCAGUUCCCAGUUGUACUGAACAACCAAUGCAAGAACCAAUCUGAUUGUUUUGUACUUUAUCACAGGAGAGAAUAUCUCAUUGUAAUCAACCCCCUCCUUUUGAGUGAACCCUUUCGCCACUAAUCUGGCCUUAUACCUAGGAGGAUCACUAGGAUUAUUUCCUUCUUUCAAUUUGUAAAUCCACUUACAUUGAACUAUCCUAUGAUCCUUAGGUUUGUUAACUAACUUCCAAGUUUUAUUCUCCAUUAGANAUAAAGUCCUUGAAGAGAAUAUGCUGCACUCCAUGAAAAGUAGAGGCCGCAGCAUAUGCAUACCAUUGUUUGGUCAAUAAAAAGAGAAGGUUAGAGAAGCUUUUUACUUGUUGAUGCAAGUUUUGACACAUAAGAAAUAGAACACUUUCAGAUCUUCUCACAUUUCUAGCAUCCAUCCAAAAGUAUUCUGUCUUUGGGUCAUUUUUCAUUUUCAGAGAAACAUUCAUCCAGAUAGGUGCAAUUUUCUCCAGGAAGCCCUGAAUAAGUCAAUUGAAAAAUGGUGUAAACUUUCUUAAGAGAUAACGAAUCAAUAAAUCAGACAUGUAAAGAUGAUAUAAAAUCUUUAUCUCAAAAUAAAUCGUGCACGUUCUUAGUAAAUGCAAAAGCAUGACUAGAUUUACCUUUUUUAUUAUGAUUUGAGAAUUGCCAAUUGGAUUGAUAUUUGUAACAUGACCCUUCUCCUCAAGAAGAUAAUUAUGAUUUUUUUUCCUGUUCAACGAUUUGAUGUAGAAGAAGAAAGUAGCAGAAUAUCCUCCACGAGCCAAAUUAGCAAGCAAAUUUAUGAAUAUAUUUCUGGGUUCUCCAAUAAUUAUUCCCUCCCACCUUCAAAAUAUCCAUGGAAGUAAAAAACAAAAAUAGAACAUGAAAUCUGCAAAAAUCUUUAGAUGGGAUGGGAAUACUUACCUAAGAGUGAUAAUGGAUAUGCGAUUGGGGCCACAAAAUGGGCCAUGAUAUCGAUGAUAAUGAUGAUUGAAAUUUGAGGUUCCUUUACUCUGAAUGUUCGAAAAGAGAGACGGAGAGUGAGGAUGAGCCAAUGAGGAAGGCGGCACGCUUUAGAAGAGAGGAAGUCACGAAUUUGAGGUUGGGGUUCUGGAAUAUGACUAAGGCUUGUUCAACAGUGAUUUUAAGAAUUGAUUUUUUGAUCGUUAGAGAGAAAUAUAAUUUCUAUUCGUGAGAGAAAAAGUCAAAAAUAAAAGUUGUAAUAGUAAAAUAAUGGUUAAAAAUUGAUUUUUUGGGGAGAAAAAACACUACGAAUCAAGCACUAACUUUUGAACUAAAAAACCUCGUGGGCAAGUGAAAAGUGUUGGGAAAAUGAAAAAUUUGAAUACCAAAAGGAAUUUUUUAGAGCCAAAUGAAAUAUUUGUAAAAAUUAGUCACAGAUAGUUUCUGUAGGAAAAUCGACAGAUAUAGAUUUUUUUUUCAAAAUUUUCAAACAGAAUUUUUUCCAUAGGUAACUAUUUAAUUAUUUUUUAAUUUCUUCAUAAGUUCACCAACAAUUUUUUUUUUUUUUCCGUUGGUAAUUAUUUUACUCUUUUAUCUAGUUUUUAACGAAAUAAUUCAUUUUAAAAUCUGUUAAAACCUACGAAUUAGAAAUGGAAUUGUAGUAAUAAGUCUUACGUUUGGUAAUUCUGAUGGUGAUUUAAUAUAUAUUUUGUAAACAUAGUAAAAUAAUAAUCUGUUGUUGAUUGGUUGUACAUCCGUCGUUAAUAGCAACACCGGUCAUCCGUUGCUAAAAUUCUGUCUCCAUUGCCUCUCUUUCUAAUAGUGAUAAUGUCCAACCGUAGCCCCCCAAGGCACAUCCGAGUUGGUGGAACAAUCACUUCGUUGGGACGCUGGAAGCAAGGGUGGAGAGUUCGACUCCUGGAGUUAACACUGGGAGCCAUAUGGAGAGGAAGCCAUUGGUGUGAACAAACGCCCAGUGAGGAGAGCUCUUUUUGUGGAAGGAGUCCAAAUGAGUUGUGGGAAUCUGGAAGCCAACAAGGGCACAUCCUGCGAUUUACCUCCCUGAGCUGCUGAGGGGCCGGAGGUUCAGGGACAAGGAUCUAGUCGGACGCAAGCCCGGACACCUUGUAAAAAAAAAAAAUAAUAAUAAGGAUAAUGUCCAACGGUAAAUCAAGGUCAACAGAAACUAUAAGAAUUUAAUAUUUUUUGCUUAAAUUAUAUAGUUUUCUCUAAUAAAGGCUCUCUGCAAAUCAUAGUCCCUACGACCUAAACAACUUUACGGUUAAUUGCAUAUACCCUCCUAAGUUAUAAUCUUUUCUUAGAAACAUCGAGAAUACAAGUAUAUUAUAUACAAUAGGAUGAAGAAAUAUAUGAUCCAAAAAUCCUACUCCUCCUUUACAUUUUAACCACAUUUUAUUGGGCGUUGCAAAUUAACAUAUUCCAUAUGAAAACUCUCUCUAAUUUAUGUCUGUUGGGGAUCCUAGGAGUUCAAACAAACCAAAACAACAAUCAACAAACAAGAUUCAAGGCAAAAACAAGAAAAAUAAACCGGAAGAAUACUCCCCUUCUUUGGCCGAAAAUCUGUCCAGCUUUUCUGCUUCGUUUCAGCAGCUCCUUCUUCGAUUUAUGGGUGUUUUUCCAGGCUCAGGAACAGCCCCAUGUUAUGCCAAUUGCCUUCCAAAGAGAGAGGGGAAAAAAACCAAUGAAGAACCACCACCCUUCUAUGAAAAACGAGAGCUCCUACUGCUGGGAAUUCAAGAGACUGAGAGCUGCCCCCUUUUUUUUAUAUAAAAUGGUAGAGUGUACAUAAUGAAGGGGUAGGAAGAAAGACCAUGCCUCUGCCAAAAGAAGGGAAGACCUUAUUGUGUCAACCUCACUCCCAUCAAGUCACAACAUUAGGUGGUGGGGUUAGGUGAACCAUAUCCUCACAUUCUUCACCUUGGUUCUCCUAACACUCUCUCUUGGUUGCGAAUUUGCACAUGGAAGAACUGUUCAUCAUCAUCGCCCACCACCUGCAAGAAAAAUUAACCAGUGUCAAUGUGUAAUAAAGAUAAGCACAAUCUAAAUUUACUUGCAGGUAGAAUUUUUGUUCCCAUGUCAGAGGGAUUCCUAUCAGUGUGAAUUUUAACAAGAUUAACUUCACCUUGAGACAGUUUCUCACGUAUAAAAUGAUACUUUACCUCAAUAUGUUUAGUUCUUUCAUGGUAAACAGGAUUUUUACAAAGCAAUAAAGCACUUUGACUAUCAGUAAACAUAACAGGUGUAUCAUGCAUGAAGUUCAAUUCUUUUAAAAUUCCUUUUAACCAAGUACAUUCUUUAGCCGCCUCAGUUAUGGCAACAUAUUCUGCCUCAGUACUUGACAAAGUAACUAAAGGCUGCAGCUGUGACUUCCAUGUUAUACAAUUGUCACCAAGUGUAAAAAAGUACGCUGUGGUAGACUUUCUGCUAUCCUUGUCACCAGCAAAAUCAGAGUCUACAUACCCCUUUAGAGUAAGUUUUUCAGAUCUCUUUUCAUACACUAGACCCAGAUUUAAUGUACCAACAAUGUACCUUAACAACCAUUUCAAACCUGCCCAAUGAGGCUUUCCUGGGUUUGA
rnacentral:lncRNA from 1 species